rnacentral:rRNA from 1 species
GUCCUACGGGAGGCAGCAGUCGGGAAUAUUGCGCAAUGGAGGAAACUCUGACGCAGUGACGCCGCGUAUAGGAAGAAGGUUUUCGGAUUGUAAACUAUUGUCGUUAGGGAAGAUAAAAGACUGUACCUAAGGAGGAAGCUCCGGCUAACUACGUGCCAGCAGCCGCGGUAAUACGUAGGGAGCGAGCGUUGUCCGGAAUUACUGGGUGUAAAGGGAGCGUAGGCGGGGAUGCAAGUUGGGUGUCAAAACUACCGGCUCAACUGGUAGUCGCACUCAAAACUGCAGCUCUUGAGUGAUGGAGAGGG